UCAAGAAAAACAAAGCAAACAAAAGCUUCUAAUGAAGAAAUUUAUAUUAAAGAGUUUGCCACAAUCAUGGAUUCAGAUCAGAGUGAAACUUCAAUUUCAUCAUUAAAUCAGACUAGAUCAAAGAACUAUAACACUACCCACUAUCCCAAAUUUGCUUUAGAGGUAAUUAGAUAUGGAAUAUCAGAUGAAGCAGCUGCCGCUGUAGCUAAUUUCAAGAUAUUGGUUAUCUACAUCUAAAUGAUGUAAUUGAUCCAAGUAAAAUGAAAAGAGAGAAAGAACGAGUAUGCUUUAAUGCUAGUUUUGAGCAAUCUAAAGUUUCAAAUAUAAAGGCAAUUGGUUUGGAUAGCAAACGUAAUAAAAACUCAUUGGUUUAAGAACAGAGAGAUAUUGACGGUGAAAUAAAUCUUUGUAAAUCUACUAGCACUCUAGACCACUUGACAUUCACAAUUGAAUCAGGCGAGUUGCAAGGUCAAUAUCUAAAGCACAUAGAUGUACCUAAAGAAAAAGGUAAAGGAAAAGAUCUUGCUGAAUUUACCUGUAAUGUUCUCAAGGAGUUUAAGAGUGAUAAAAGUAUCCAGGCAAUAAUUUUGGACAAUACAAGUGUUAAUACAGGUAAAGAUAAUGGUUUAGUUGCUUGUCUUUAAAGAAUAUUGAAAAGAAGAUUUCAUUUAAUUGACUGUCUUCUUCAUGUUAACGAGUUACCAUUGCGUCAUUUAAUUUCUAAACUUGAUGGUUUUUCUAAUAGCUCAAAUAAUUAUUCGGGACCAUUUGGAAAAUCUUUGACAAAUCCAAUUCAUUUAAAUUUAACUGUUCACUUCAUACAAGCUAAGACAGACAUUGAAUAUCCUCCUCUGUGUGUCAUUAAAGACCUUUCUGCUGACCAG